rnacentral:lncRNA from 1 species
GAAAAUCAGUAGAAGAAAAAAAUACAAUAAUAUAGAUGCUUACUCUGUUUGGAAUGCCACAGAAAGGUUUACAUAUUGUGAUGAGGGUAUGUGGGAGAUCUAUAAUCCUUUUACGUUUUCAAGAUAAUUUUACUUUUGUUUUAUAUGUUAGAUAUGUGUCUCUCUUUUCUAUAUCAAUCCAAUCAGUUAUUUUUGUUUCAAACACUACUUUUCUUUAUUCCUUUUGGAAUAAUAUGCAAAUUUUCUCCUUGAUCCUAUCUUUUUCGUCAACCAACUAACAUGGGUCUUGAUCAAUAUUUUUAUUUCAACCUAGGUAAAAAUUAAGGCUUUCUGAAAUACUACAUGAUAUAAGUCUAAAAAGAAAGCCUAAAGUUUAAGGAACGCCUUUUACAGUUAUUACUUGUGAUGUGUUCUAGUCUCAUUCUAAUUUUGUCUACUUAAAACAAAUGUUGGCAGAAAUCAGUUACGUAAAAUUAAAAAAACUUUAUAUUAAAAAAACUUUAUAUGAAUUUCCAGAAUGAUCUUGUACAGUCUUAGACUCCUUCUUGAAACCCUUUUGUGACUAUCCUUGAACCGUUUGAUGCAGACAAAUUGUACAAAUGGUGUUGCAUCCUACUUAUAGUCCUUUCCUUUGAUUUCCUGUUUACCCUGAGGCUUGUGUGUUCAGCAAAACAGUGUCACCUUAACCUCUCCUUUAGUAAGCUGUUUCUUGCGUGCUCUACUGCUUUUUCUACAAAUUGGGGAGUUUUAUCUCUCUCCAUUGUCUGCUUCUCAUGUCUGAAAUACCCAACUUCUACAGUGAUUGUGGGAUAAACCUUCAUUCUUCCGACUAACAGGACAGCAUAAAGGUACUAUGAUUAACUGGAAAACAACAACAACCAAACCAAAUUUUGUUCAAAACAAUAAGUAUAAAAUAUAUUUUUAGAAAAUUAACCUUACAUAUGUCAGUGAAGUUGAUUUGUGACACAUUAUAGAAACUUUGUGGUUAAAAAAAAAGACCUGGCAGCAGCCUGUCUGAUGGUACUAAUUUAGAUAAUAACUCUUAGAAACUGCAGUUUUAUCGAGAGUUAGGUUGCAUUCAGUGAUGCAUUCAAACCAGUGUGCUUCUUCAGUCUAAGAAUGAAACCCUUUUGGUGCAGCUAUUUUAUUGUUAGUAUUCAUUUUGUACACGAGUUACUCAUGCUUUUAUGAAGACUGCAUAAGCAAAGUCCCCCAUAUAUUUUCCCAUUAAUUAAUUAAUUCACUUUACAUCUUGAUUGCAAGUUCUCCCCCUCCAGUCUUUCCAUUCCCCCCUUCACAGGGUCUCUUGCCAGUACUCUCACCCUUAUCCCCUUCACCUGAGAAGGAGGAGGUCCCUCCCCAGGAACCAACACACCCUGCCACCUUAAGUUUCUGCAGGACUAGGCACAUCUUCUCCUACUGAGCCCAGACAAGAAUCACAGUUAAGGGAGGCACAAUGUCAGCCAACCCACAGACAGGCAACAAUGUCAGGGUAAGCCCCUGCUCUAGUUGUUGGUGGACCCACAUAAAGACCAAGUUGCACAUCUGCUACAUAUGUGCAGUGGGGCCUAAGUCCAGCCCUUGUAUGCUCUUUGGUUGGUGGUUCAGUCUCUAGGAGCCCCUUAGUGUCCAGGUUAGUUGACUGCUUUUGGUCUUCUUGUGGAGUUCCUAUCUUCUUUGGGUUCGUCCCUUAUAAAUUUUAUGUUAAAAAUUUUUAAAUUUGCUGAAAACUUUUAAAAAUACUUAAUAAUAUACUUUAUGUCAUACUUGAAUAAUAACCUUGGCAUUAUGCAUAUAUGUAUUAUCUAUGCCAAAACUAAUUGUAGUGAUUAUAUCUUAAACUCUUGUCUUAAAAAUCUCAACUAUUUCACUAUGUAAUAAGAAUAAGAAAACCUUAGUAGUUAAACAUAAUCAUAAAAUUAAUAUAAUAUUCAGAUUUUUUAAUUGUUUCUAAAAUGGUAUUAAAAGUUUUUAAUAUCAGCAGGGUGGUGUUGGCAUUUGCCUUUAAUCCGAGUAUUCUGGAGGCAAAGACAGGUGGAUGAAUUUGAGGCCAGCCUGGUCAACAAAUGGAGUCCCAGGACAGCCAGGGUUACAUAGAGAAACCCUGUAUCUAUCAAAAACCAAUU